UCUCCACUCCCUCACACUCUUAUCCUCCACUUCCCCACGAGCUGCUGCUCCUCCCAAGCUCCAUGGCCGGCCAUGGCCAUGGAAAGCUCACCAAGAUGCAGCUCCUUCCUCCCUCAAGCUCAUCCUCACCAUGAGAGCCUCCCCCUCCAUCUUCUCCCCAACCCUAGAUGGUUUAAUCUCCUCUUCUUCUUCCUCCAUUGCUAAUAUUGGAUCUUGAUGCAGGUGCAUGUUGGUCCAAGCAUGGAGAAGGUUGAGCAAUCCUCAGAUCUGAAGUUCUUGAGCAAAAUCCAAAUCGAGUAGUUCAAAGUUCUGCAGAUAGGUAUUGAAAAGAUCUACAACUUGGCGUUGGUCUCAUCCUCAAAUUCGUUACGGAUUUUGUAUGAUCAAGAUCUGGUCAGAUCUGACUUUGUCGAAUUAAACCAGGAGCUUGGAGACGAAUUUUUGAAUGAAACCAACUGGUGGGUACUUAGCUUGUGCCAUGGUGAUACCGAGAGAGGCAAUUGCUAAGUUGUGAUACUCUCAUACCUUUACUAGAUGCGAACGAUUCCGGAGAAGAAGAAGAAGUGGUUCGGACAAGGAUUUUAUUUAUAUUGGCGGGAUUCUUAUAUUGAUGAAGUUGAAGAAGUCCAGGGACAAAUAAGCCAAGGCAAGCCAUCUUUUGAUCUUUGAUUCGGUGUCUAGUUGGAUGUCAUUUGUUGAUGUCCAAAGCACCUUAAUUCUAUGUG